AUUGAACGCUGGCGGCAGGCCUAACACAUGCCAGUCGAACGAGUGGCGGACGGGUGAGUAAUGGCUGGGAAAAUGCCUGAUGGAGGGGUAUACCUACUGGAAACGGUAGCUAAUAAAGCAUACCCACGGAUGUGGACAGAUGGGAUUAGCUUGUCGGUGAGGUAACGGCUCACCUAGGCGACGAGACCGAGCUGGGCUGAGAGGAUGACCAGGCAGACUGGAACUGAGACACUGUCCCUACUCCUACGGUAGUCAGCAGGGGGGAGUAUUGCACAAUGGGCGCAAGACUGAUGAGGCCAUGGCGCGUGUAUGAAGAAGGCUUUCGGGUUGUAAAGUACUUUCGUCGGGGAGGCGUUGCCCGCACAGGAAGCACCGGCUAACUCCGUGCCAGCAGCCGCGGUAAUAC
rnacentral:rRNA from 1 species